GCAUGAAGUCGGAAUCGCUAGUAAUCGCGGAUCAGCAUGCCGCGGUGAAUACGUUCCCGGGCCUUGUACACACCGCCCGUCACACCAUGAGAGUCGGGAACACCCGAAGUCCGUAGCCUAACUUUAACGAGGGGGCGCGGCCGAAGGUGGGUUCGAUAAUUGGGGUGAAGUCGUAACAAGGUAUC
rnacentral:rRNA from 1 species